UGGGAGAACUUGGAAGAAUACUU
rnacentral:piRNA from 1 species